UACGUAGGGUGCGAGCGUUAAUCGGAAUUACUGGGCGUAAAGCGUGCGCAGGCGGAUUAUUAAGCAAGACGUGAAAGCCCCGGGCUUAACCUGGGAAUGGCGUUUUGAACUGGUAGUCUAGAGUGUGUCAGAGGGGGGUGGAAUUCCACGUGUAGCAGUGAAAUGCGUAGAUAUGUGGAGGAACACCAAUGGCGAAGGCAGCCCCCUGGGAUAACACUGACGCUCAUGUACGAAAGCGUGGGUAGCAAACAGG
rnacentral:rRNA from 1 species